ensembl:ncRNA C17G1.12 ncRNA
AAACAAUAUCUGACAUCGAUCUGGAUAUGAAGACUCAGUCAUGUGGCCGGUCGGCCAAACUUGCCCAAUCCAGUUUUUUCACCCGUUCAUCUCCGACGUCGUUCGAACUGGAA